AGAGUUUGAUCCUGGCUCAGAUUGAACGCUGGCGGCAUGCUUUACACAUGCAAGUCGAACGGCAGCGGGGGCUUCGGCCUGCCGGCGAGUGGCGAACGGGUGAGUAAUGCAUCGGAACGUGCCCAGUCAUGGGGGAUAACUACGCGAAAGCGUAGCUAAUACCGCAUACGCCCUGAGGGGGAAAGCGGGGGAUCGCAAGACCUCGCGUGAUUGGAGCGGCCGAUGUCGGAUUAGCUAGUUGGUGGGGUAAAGGCCUACCAAGGCGACGAUCCGUAGCGGGUCUGAGAGGAUGAUCCGCCACACUGGGACUGAGACACGGCCCAGACUCCUACGGGAGGCAGCAGUGGGGAAUUUUGGACAAUGGGGGCAACCCUGAUCCAGCCAUGCCGCGUGAGUGAAGAAGGCCUUCGGGUUGUAAA
rnacentral:rRNA from 1 species